UCUCUAAUGCGGCCGUGGUUUUCCAUGCCCGUCACAAGCCGGGAAAACGCAGAGUGGAGA
rnacentral:ribozyme from 2 species